rnacentral:rRNA from 1 species
UACGGAGGGUGCAAGCGUUAUCCGGAUUCACUGGGUUUAAAGGGUGCGUAGGUGGGCAGGUAAGUCAGUGGUGAAAUCUUCGAGCUUAACUCGGAAACUGCCAUUGAUACUAUCUGUCUUGAAUAUCCUGGAGGUGAGCGGAAUAUGUCAUGUAGCGGUGAAAUGCUUAGAUAUGACAUAGAACACCAAUUGCGAAGGCAGCUCACUACGGGAUGAUUGACGCUGAGGCACGAAAGCGUGGGGAUCAAACAGG